CACGUAGUUGGCCGGCGCUUCUUCUGCAGGUACCGUCACUUGCGCUUCGUCCCUGCUGAAGGAGGUUUACAACCCGAAGGCCUUCAUCCCUCACGCGGCGUCGCUGCAUCAGGCUUCCGCCCAUUGUGCAAUAUUCCCCACUGCUGCCUCCCGUAGGAGUCUGGGCCGUGUCUCAGUCCCAGUGUGGCCGGUCGCCCUCUCAGGCCGGCUACCCGUCAUCGCCUUGGUAGGCCAUCACCCCACCAACAAGCUGAUAGGCCGCGAGCCCAUCCCAGGCCGAAAAAACUUUCCACCCACCACCAUGCGGCAGCAGGUCAUAUCCGGUAUUAGCCCCCGUUUCCGAGGGUUAUCCCGAAGCCUGGGGCAGGUUACUCACGUGUUACUCACCCGUUCGCCGCUCGAGUACCCCCGAAGGGGCCUUUCCGCUCGACUUGCAUGUGUUAAGCACGCCGCCAGCGUUCGUCCUGAGCCACGGAGUCAAACUAC
rnacentral:rRNA from 1 species